CAGCCGCCGCGGUAAAACCAGCACCUCAAGUGGUCAGGAUGAUUAUUGGGCCUAAAGCAUCCGUAGCUCGUUUUGUAAGUUUUCGGUUAAAUCCAUACGCUUAACGUAUGGGCUGCCGGGAAUACUGCAUAACUAGGAAGUGGGAGAGGUAGACGGUACUCGAUAGGAAGGGGUAAAAUCCUUUGAUCUAUUGAUGACCACCUGUGGCGAAGGCGGUGUACCAGAACACGUUCGACGGUGAGGGAUGAAAGCUGGGGGAGCAAACCGGAUUAGAUACCCGGGUAGUCCCAGCUGUAAACGAUGCAGACUCGGUGAUGGGAUGGCCUCGAGCCAACCCAGUGCUGCUGGGAAGCCUUUAAGUUUGCCGCUUGGGAAGUACGUACGCAAGUAUGAAACUCAAUGGAAUUGGCGGGGGAGCAC
rnacentral:rRNA from 2 species